CGGAUAGCUCAGUCGGUAGAGCAUC
rnacentral:piRNA from 9 species